GUGUUGUAUGAAGGUAGAGAAAAGCAGCACAACCCUUGAUGGGAAUGGAAGACGUCCUCGUGGCCUUUAUAACACACAUCUAGUUAUGGCAUUACCACCUACUCUGUGGCAUCAAACCAUGUUUUUAG